UUCAUGCAGGGGUUGUUAAUUAGUCAGCAACAUAAAUCUACUCUCUGCUUCUAUAUAAAGAGGACUCAUCUCGUAUUGGACUCGGCAGACACACAGUAUUAAGAGCUUCGAAAUUGUUGGUGUUUGAAAUGCAGUAAAUCAGUGGUUGUUUUUUGGUCAUAUUUGUGGCGGUGAACGAUGUCAUGAGAAGUAAAGACUUAGCAACCAUCUAGUGUGAACACAUAGCAGUGAUUUACACACAGUGUAUUGGUAACUUAAGUUUACUAACAAACGAGGCUUCUAACUCGCAGGUCGAAACAGAGCCGAUUGGGUACACAUCCGCAGACAAGACUCAAACAGCCAAGUGUGGUGAGAGCAAACAGAAGGUGCCAAACACAAGCAAACAACAGGCCUGUCAGCCGUCACUGCCUACCCGUCACCAUGAAGACAUCAACAAUGGUCCUGU